CCAGACUCCUACGGGAGGCAGCAGUGGGGAAUAUUGCAUAAUGGGCGCAAGCCUGAUGCAGCCAUGCCGCGUGUAUGAAGAAGGCCUUCGGGUUGUAAAGUACUUUCAGUCGGGAGGAAGGUGGUAAGGUUAAUAACCUUAUCAAUUGACGUUACCGACAGAAGAAGCACCGGCUAACUCCGUGCCAGCAGCCGCGGUAAUACGGAGGGUGCAAGCGUUAAUCGGAAUUACUGGGCGUAAAGCGCACGCAGGCGGUCUGUCAAGUCGGAUGUGAAAUCCCCUGGCUCAACCUGGGAACUGCAUUCGAAACUGGCAGGCUGGAGUCUUGUAGAGGGGGGUAGAGUUCCAGGUGUAACGGUGAAAUGCGUAGAGAUCUGGAGGAAUACCGGUGGCGAAGGCGGCCCCCUGGACAAAGACUGACGCUCAGGUGCGAAAGCGUGGGGAGCAAACAGGAUUAGAUACCCCAGUACAA
rnacentral:rRNA from 1 species